rnacentral:rRNA from 1 species
UACGUAGGGUGCAAGCGUUGUCCGGAAUUAUUGGGCGUAAAGAGCUCGUAGGCGGUUUGUCGCGUCUGCUGUGAAAACUCAGGGCUUAACCCUGAGCUUGCAGUGGGUACGGGCAGACUAGAGUGCGGUAGGGGAGACUGGAAUUCCUGGUGUAUCGGUGAAAUGCGCAGAUAUCAGGAGGAACACCGGUGGCGAAGGCGGGUCUCUGGGCCGUAACUGACGCUGAGGAGCGAAAGCAUGGGGAGCGAACAGG